AUUGAACGCUGGCGGCAGGCCUAACACAUGCAAGUCGAGCGAGCGGCGGACGGGUGAGUAAUGUAUGGGGACUGCCCGAUAGAGGGGGAUAACUACUGGAAACGGUGGCUAAUACCGCAUACUAUCGGAUAACCAAUAUGGGAUUAGCUAGUAGGUGGGGUAAAGGCUCACCUAGGCGACGAUCUCUAGCUGGUCUGAGAGGAGGAUCAGCCAGCCAGGGAUGGAGACCCGGCCCAGACUCCAACGGAGUCAGCAGUGGGGAAGAUUGAACUAUGGGAGCAAGCCUGAUGCAGCCAUUCCGCGUGUAUGAAGAAGGCCUUAGGGUUGUAAAGUACUUUCAGCGGGGAGGCGUUACCCGCAGAAGAAGCACCGGCUAACUCCGUGCCAGCAGCCGCGGUAAUAC
rnacentral:rRNA from 1 species